rnacentral:sRNA from 1 species
UUAGUGCUAAUGCCCACAUUAUUUGUCCACAUCAUUGUCAAAGAUUAUGUGCCUGAUGGACUGGCAGAGUAUGCAGAGGCUUUGUCUAAUCCUAUUGCUUACCAGUCUGAUUUGGUCAAAAAACAUGCUCAACAACUGGAGAUUUUGUCUGAAGAAUUUGAUGAAGAGACCGCUGAAAGAGAGGCAGAUUUAUUGGAUACUUUUGUAAGUUGAGCAUGACUUGCCACUUUGUCUCUCCAAAUGUGCUCUCAUGUUUGAAAACUCUCACCUUGGAUCUCUAGUUCUUGGGCAUGAAUUAACUGUUGACUAUAUUGUUGGCAUGCAUUUCCAGAGUACAGUGAGAAUAAGAUCAAAUGUUUAAAAAUAAAUGCUCAGACAUUUGAAAUAAAAAUUUGCCGUCAUUUUUAUACCAUUCAUUUUUUUUUUUAGUGGAAAAAAACAAAAACUUAUUAAGAAUAUAGGCACAUGAUGCUGUUUGUUGCAGGCAUGUGUUGAAUUUCAGUUUAUAUAGUUAAGUCUUAUUUAUCGUCGACUACACAUAUAACAUAAAGCUGUAUAGAAGAAAUAUUUAGUGUAUUUCAAUAAUCUGAACUACAUUGAUUGUGGCCUUGACCAAAAACAACACUCUCCUCUAACCUAUAUAUAAUGUCUGUCUGGUCCUCUAACCCUUUCUGUGUUUCACUAUAUUUACUUGUGGUUAUUCAUUUCAUUUUGUAUUUCCAAUUAGUGAUAAUUUGAAUGUGUGUAUUGCUGUAGUUAGAUCUCUCUGGCAUGCUGAUUGACUUCUUCAUUUGUCUAUUUGCACAUCUCUUUUUUUUUUUAGUACCAACACUGAAAAUGUAGAAGCUCAUUUAAUGCAUGUGUUGCUCUGUUCACCAGUUUUAAUGUAGACUUUGUUCUGCUUUUAGAUGUUCUUCAAUGAUUUCUCUUUUGUUGUAGAAAUGUAAGUCUCCUGAAAGUUUUAUCCUAUAUUCCUAGAGCAUGUUCAACAAACUCAGCCAUCUAAUUAUGCGAGUUCUUUACAAAAAAAUAUUUGAUAUCUAGCUCUUCUGGUGGUUUAAGAAUAUUUGCAGGUUAUGAGUAUAGCUACACUCCUAGUAUUUAGUGUUAAAUGUUAUUAGAAUUUGUAUACAACUUUAUUAAUCCCCAUAAACCCACCCCAUUAUAAACAUCCCAUAAUAUGUUUGUAUCUAUGUUUUGUCUGCUACCACAUACAGCAGUGAAGAAUUAAUAUUCCAUUGCUACUUAUACUUGAUGAAGUUUUAUCUAUUUUUUGAUAUCACAUAAGAUUGAAAGUAUUCACCCAAAGAACAUUGAUAGAC